rnacentral:rRNA from 1 species
CGUAGGUGGUAGUGUAAGUCUGGGGUGGAAUGCCGGGGCUUAACCCUGGAAUUGCCUUGGAAACUGCAUUACUUGAGUCAGUGAGGGGAGGGUAGAAUUCCUGGUGUAGCGGUGAAAUGCGUAGAUAUCAGGAGGAAGACCUGUGGCGAAGGCGGCCCUCUGGUGCUGGACUGACACUGAGGCGCGAAAGCGUGGGGAGCAAACAGGAUUAGAUACCCUGGUAGUCCACGCCCUAAACGGUGGGCACUAGGUGUAGGGCUCGUAAGGGUUCUGUGCCGAAGGGAAACCAUUAAGUGCCCCGCCUGGGGAGUACGGCCGCAAGGUUGAA